rnacentral:rRNA from 1 species
GAUGAACGCUGGCGGCGUGCUUAACACACGCAAGUCGAACGGAAAGGCCAGUGCUUGCACUGGUACUCGAGUGGCGAACGGGUGAGUAACACGUGGGUGAUCUGCCCUGUACUUCGGGAUAAGCUUGGGAAACUGGGUCUAAUACCGGAUAGGACAACUUUUUGGAUAUUGUUGUGGAAAGCUUUUGCGGUAUGGGAUGAGCUCGCGGCCUAUCAGCUUGUUGGUGGGGUAAUGGCCUACCAAGGCGUCGACGGGUAGCCGGCCUGAGAGGGUGUACGGCCACAUUGGGACUGAGAUACGGCCCAGACUCCUACGGGAGGCAGCAGUGGGGAAUAUUGCACAAUGGGCGCAAGCCUGAUGCAGCGACGCCGCGUGGGGGAUGAAGGCCUUCGGGUUGUAAACUCCUUUCGCUAGGGACGAAGCGUUUUUGUGACGGUACCUGGAGAAGAAGCACCGGCUAACUACGUG